rnacentral:rRNA from 1 species
GUGACCUCAAAUCAGGUAGGACUACCCGCUGAACUUAAGCAUAUCAAUAAGCGGAGGAAAAGAAACUAACAAGGAUUCCCCUAGUAACUGCGAGUGAAGCGGGAAAAGCUCAAAUUUAAAAUCUGGCGGUCUUUUGGCUGUCCGAGUUGUAAUCUAGAGAAGUGUUAUCCGCGCUGGACCGUGUACAAGUCUCCUGGAAUGGAGCAUCAUAGAGGGUGAGAAUCCCGUCUUUGACAUGGACUGCCAGGGCUUUGUGAUGCGCUCUCAAAGAGUCGAGUUGUUUGGGAAUGCAGCUCAAAAUGGGUGGUAAAUUCCAUCUAAAGCUAAAUAUUGGCGAGAGACCGAUAGCGAACAAGUACCGUGAGGGAAAGAUGAAAAGAACUUUGGAAAGAGAGUUAAACAGUACGUGAAAUUGCUGAAAGGGAAACGCUUGAAGUCAGUCGCGUUGUCCAGAGAUCAACCUUGCUUUUGCUUGGUGCACUUUCUGGUUCAACGGGUCAGCAUCAAUUUUGACUAUUGGAAAAAGGUUGAGGGAAUGUGGCAUCYUUGGAUGUGUUAUAGCCCUUGGUUGUAUACAAUGGUUGGGAUUGAGGAACUCAGCACGCCGCAAGGCCGGGUUU